rnacentral:lncRNA from 10 species
GCACAGUCGGUGCUGGGGAGAGGCUGAUGCCAACAGGAGGCUCUCGGCCGUGGUGUGCCCAGGCGGGGCAGGACGGGAGGAUGCAGGAGUCCCGGGUCCACGCUGAGGCUAAGGCUGAAGGGAAGGCAGAGCUCAGGUGGAUGACGGAGGCCAGGCCUUUCCCUGAGCUUGGUGGGCUCCCUCCCGGUCACCUUGUCUGAGAACCCAGGACACAGAGUCCCCUUGCUUUGGACUGGUUUGGUUUGUCAUUCCCCUUGACAUCGCCUCGCCCCAGAGACAAGAGGCCCCUUCAUCCUCCAGCCAAGACCUUCCCCACCCUUGGGUGACCUACCCUCUUGCAUUUUUUAGAUUUGAGCCCUCUUUCUAUGCAGCGACUAACUCAACGUGACCCCAGAGGCCCCCUCGCCCAUGUUGCUGGUAGUCUUGACCUUUUUUGGCAGAUCCUGGCUGUGGGAGUUCCCUGUCUUUCUCUUAGGUAGGACAGAAGGCAGUUUCUGCCUCGUUGCCACAUACACCCCAAGUCAGGGGUAGGACUCCCGCAGACCCCACAGUCCUCCUCUUGUUAAAAUUAGUAAGCAUUAGCCUUCCUUAUUAGGCUCUCCCCGCUUUUGCAUUUAAGGAUUUUUUAAUGUGUCUUAUAAAAUCAUGUAAUUGUGAGGAUAAUUACAGAUUCAGCUUCUUCCAGUGAGUGACAAUUGCUCAUUUUCGAUGCUCACAUGGUCAUCGUUCGGCCACUGCAAACUGUUCCAACCCUUCUACUUUGUCAUUUCAGACAGUUUUCAAACACCCCUAACUUUUGGGUAACAUGAAAAUAUAUAUUUCAAAUUUUUUAUUUCCCCAAGAUGUGGGAUCAGGUCUUCCCCAGGGACUCCUGGAAAAAUCUUUUACACUAGGCUACCCAGUUCAGAUACCACUGAAUGAUUUUUCUUAAAUAUUAUUCUAAUGUGAACUUACAUUUUAUUUUUACAAUACACUGACUUACACGCCUGUAAUCCCAGCACUUUGGGAGGUCCAGACGGGCGGAUCACAAGGUCAGGAGAUCAAGACCAUCCUGGCUAACAUGGCAAAACCCCCUCUCUACUAAAAGUACAAAAAAAAUUAGCCAGGCAUGGUGGUGGGCGCCUGUAGUCCCAGCUACUCAGGAGGCUGAGGCAGGAGAAUGGCGUGAACCCAGGAGGUGGAGCUUGCAGUGAGCCGAGAUUGUGCCACUGCACUCCAGCCUGGGUGACAGAGCGAGACUCUGUCUCAAAAAAAAAAAAAAAACAAACAAAAAAACACACACAAAACACUGACUUAGAUUUCUCAUCUGUGUUUUUGAGCAGUGGCUGUAAACCUUUUCUUUCCUGGAACUAGCUUUCUGGUCACUUGGUUGUCCCCAGGGUCUCAGACCUUCUGGCCACACCACCCCUUGCUUUCUUGGCAGGCCAAAGAGUUGACUGUGGGCACAAAUGAGUCGGCCAUCCACUGUGCCAGUCACGUCAGCUGCAUUUGUGGGGUACCAUCAGACCUACUGCUUUGAGCUGUUUCUUUUUCUUUUAAAAUUUUCAAUAUUUAAAAACUUUUUUAUUUCAUAUUUCCAAACAGUGAACAGUUGGUUUCUUUUUCUUAAAAAAAUUUUUAUCUUAUUUUUUGAGAUGGAGUUUCACUCUUCUUGCCCAGGCUGGAGUUCAAUGGUGUGAUCUUGGCUCACUGCAACCUCCACCUCCCGGGUUCAAGUGAUUCUCCUGCCUCAGCCUCCUGAGUAGCUGGGAUUACAGGCAUGCAGCACCACGCCUGGCUAAUUUUGUAUUUUUAGUAAAGACAGGGUUUCUCCAUGUUGGUCAGGCUGGCCUCAAACUCCCAAUCUCAGGUGAUCUGCCCUCCUCGCCUCCCAAAGUGCUGGGAUUACAGGCGUGAGCCACCACGCCCGGCCGGUUUCUUUUUCUUUAUUGUGGUAAAAUAUACAUAAUAUGAAAUUUACCAUUUACCCCUUUUUAAGUGUACAGUUCAGUGGCAUUUACACUCACACUGUUGUGCAACCAUCACCACAGUCUAUUGCCAAAACACGUUCCUGACCCCAACAGAAAUUCUGUACCCAUUAAGCACUAAAACUCCAUUCUCCUCUCCCCGUAGCUGCUGGGAACCACUAUUCUACUUUUCUCUGAUUUUGACCACUCUAGGUACCUCAUAGAAGUGGAAUCAUACAGUAUCUGUCUUUUUGUGGCUGGCUUAUUUCACUUAGCAUAAUGUUUUGAGGGUGUAUCCGUGUUGCAGCAUGUAUCAGAAUAUCCUUCCUUUUUAAGAGUGGAUAUUAUUCCAUUGUGUGUAGAGACCACAUUUUGUUUAUCCAUUCAUCUGUCAAUGGACCGUUUGGGUUGCACCACCUUUGGCUAUUGUGAAUAAUGCUAUUAUAAGCAGCAAUGUACAAAUACCUGUUUAGGUUCCUGCUUUUGGUUCUUUGGAAUAUAAACCACAGAAGUGCCAUAUUGGAGUCAUAAUGGUUUCUAUGUUUAAUUUUCUGAGGAACUAUCAUACUGUUCUCCACUGUGUACAAUUUGACAUCCCACCAGCAAUGUAGAGCAUUUUUCCAUAUCCUCGCCAACAUGUUGUUUUCUGUGUGUUUUUGUUUGUUUGUUAUUUGUUUAUAAAUAGUAGCCAUCCAUUAGGAUGGCUGUGAAGUCGUAUAUCAUUGUGGUUUUGAUUUGUAUUUUCCUAAUGAUUAGUGAUAUUGAGCAUCUUUUCAUAUGCUUAUUGGCCAUUUGUAUAUAUUCUUUGGAGAAGUAUCUAUUCAAGUCCUUUCUCCAUUUUUAAUUAGAUUGUUUGUCUUUAUUGUUGAGUUCUAGGAGUUGUUUAUAUAUUCUGGAUGUUAAUCCCCUACCCAGUAGAUGAUUUGCAAAUAUUUUUUCUCAUUCUGUGGAUUGCCUUGUCACUCUUGAUGAGUGGUUUUCAUUAAUUUUGAUAAAGUCCAGGUUAUUUAUUUUGUGUAUUAUUUCUUGAACUUUUGGUGUCAUAUCAAAUAAAUCAUUGCAAAAUCCAAUGUCACAAAGAUUUUCUAGGUUUUCUUGUAAAAGUUUUAUACUUUUAGCUCUUCGAUCAAUUUUUAGUUAAUUUUUGUAUAUGGCAGAAGGUAAGAGUCCAGUUUCAUUUUUUGAUGUGACUAUUCAGUUUUCCCAGCAUAAUUUGUUGAAAAGACUGUCCUUUCUCCAUUGAAUGGUCUUGGCAUCCUUGUUGAAAAUCAUUUGACUAAAUACCUGAGGAUUUGUUUCUGGGCUCUCUAUCCUAUUUUAUCGGUCUGUAUGUCUGUCUUUGUACCACACUGUUUCGAUUACUGUAGCUUU